rnacentral:rRNA from 1 species
ACUCAAAUGAAUUGACGGGGACCCGCACAAGCAGAGGAUCAUGUGGUUUAAUAUGACGCUACGCGUAGAACCUUACCGAGGCUUGACAUCCUGAGAAUCCGCCGGAAACGGUGGAGUGCCUUCGGGAGCUCAGUGACAGGUGCUGCAUGGCCGUCGUCAGCUCGUGUCGUGAGAUGUUGGGUUAAGUCCCGCAACGAGCGCAACCCUUAUUGUAUGUUGUAUUUUUCAUGCAAGACUGCCCGGGCCAACCGGGAGGAAGGUGGGGAUGACGUCAGGUCGGCAUGGCCCUUACGCCUCGGGCCACUCACGUGAUACAAUGGCCGGUACAACGCGUUGCCAAAGCGCAAGCUGGAGCUAAUCGCAUCAAAACCGGUCCCAGUUCGGAUUGGGGGCUGCAACUCGCCCCCAUGAAGUCGGAUUUGCUAGUAACCGUGGGUCAGCACACCGCGGUGAAUACGUUCCCGGGUCUUGCACACACCGCCCGU